UACGUAGGGUCCGAGCGUUGUCCGGAAUUAUUGGGCGUAAAGGGCUCGUAGGCGGUUUGUCGCGUCGGGAGUGAAAACACCGGGCUUAACUCGGUGCUUGCUUUCGAUACGGGCAGACUAGAGGCAUUCAGGGGAGAACGGAAUUCCUGGUGUAGCGGUGAAAUGCGCAGAUAUCAGGAGGAACACCGGUGGCGAAGGCGGUUCUCUGGGAAUGUCCUGACGCUGAGGAGCGAAAGUGUGGGGAGCGAACAGG
rnacentral:rRNA from 2 species